AAAUACAUAAUCAGAGAUAUUUAACCACUGUUUUGUAACUCUUGUGAAGAAAGCGAACCUUACUUUGCAUAAUUAAAUAUUUUCAGAAUGAAUUGACCUUCCCCACCGAGGUAUAUAACUCCGAAUCAGUUUUUCUGUUGACAUCUCGCGGGAAAUCUCAUUAGCAUCAAUUUAUUUUGAUUUCCUUAUAAGGAAAUUGACCUUUACACUUGUGUCAAAGAUGGCGGUAUGUUUGAACUGAUAUCUCCGUGUGUCUUGCUCGUUUUUGAUUUUACUAUUUAUUGUUGAACAAUUGACGUAAUAUGCAGGUUUGUGGCUUGAAUAUUGAUAAUAGAUACCAGAAUCAUCACUUUACAUGUGUUUUUUAUCCGAGAAAAAAAUUUACCACAGCUAAAUACUGCCCGAUGUGAAUCACAUCGGGGCUUGCUACACUAUCGGCAAUGGGAGGGACUUCAUACCCUGCCGGAGAGCAGUGUAGGCAGGGUAUGAAUAUUCGUUCUAUACGGAGUUUAAAGUAUCAGCAGUAUUUUCUCCGUUUAGAAAAAAAUGACAGUAAGUUUAACAUGCCUAAAUCUUGCUGUUUGUCAUCAGAGAUACUCAUACUAACACAUUUUCCAAUGUCACCGUUCAUUUUAGCGAUGUAUCGGAUAUAUGGGUCCUACAUCAGCCGUUUGGUAGGUUUCGGCUGUAUGCAACUGGCAGCUUUAUGAGGGAAACUAUAUAAUCGAUUUCAAGCAAGAGACUUAAACCAAUGUGUUAUUUUUGAAAUGUGUUUCAUUUUUUAAGAAUACAAAAACGAAGGUAACCCGACAGGCCUACCAAUAUGUUAUUUUUGAAAUGUGUUUCAUUUUUUAAGAAUACAAAAACGAAGGUAACCCGACAGGCCUUGGUAAACUGGCUGACAUGCAGCAUGUGCAGAAUCUUCAGCUGGCCUUCAUCAUUCAAUUACAUGUCCAAUUGAAAUUGAUACAAAUUAAUAUAUAUACUGUUGUUAUAUAAACUUUUAUCAGUUGACCACCAGAUUAUCAGUACAUGGUUUUCACUUCUGUAUUAAUUUAGGAUUUUGUGGUUUAAUAUAUAAUGAUAACCUAUGUAUACAUUAUUUCUGUUGUUCCUGAUUCACACAGAAGUCAAUAAAGAACAUGAACUUGAA